rnacentral:rRNA from 1 species
UGGGGAAUUUUCCGCAAUGGGCGCAAGCCUGACGGAGCAAUACCGCGUGAGGGAGGAAGGCUUUUGGGUUGUAAACCUCUUUUCUCAAGGAAGAACAAAAUGACGGUACUUGAGGAAUCAGCAUCGGCUAACUCCGUGCCAGCAGCCGCGGUAAUACGGAGGAUGCAAGCGUUAUCCGGAAUUAUUGGGCGUAAAGCGUCCGCAGGUGGUUAUUCAAGUCUGCUGUCAAAGACCACAGCUUAACUGUGGGCAGGCAGUGGAAACUGGGUAACUAGAGUACGGUAGGGGUAGAGGGGAUUUCCAGUGUAGCGGUGAAAUGCGUAGAGAUUGGAAAGAACACCAGUGGCGAAGGCGCUCUACUGGGCCGUUACUGACACUCAGGGACGAAAGCUAGGGGAGCGAAAGGGAUUAGAUACCCCCGUAGUCC